AGAGUUUGAUCCCGGCUCAGGAUAAACGCUGGCGGCGUGCUUUAUGCAUGCAAGUCGAACGGGGUGCUUCGGCACCCAGUGGCAAACGGGUGAGUAACACGUAAGUAACCUGCCCCUAAGUAGGGAAUAACCCCGAGAAAUCGGAGCUAAUACUCUAUGUGAUGGGAGAGGUAAUGCACUCUCAUUAAAGCCUUCGGGCGCUUGGGGAUGGGCUUGCGGCCGAUUAGCUAGUUGGUAGGGUAACGGUUUACCAAGGCUUUGAUCGGUAGCUGGUUUGAGAGGAUGAUCAGCCACACUGGGACUGAGAUACGGCCCAGACUCCUACGGGACGCAGCAGCAAGGAAUUUUGCGCAAUGGGCGAAAGCCUGACGCAGCGACGCCGCGUGGGGGAUGAAGGCCUUCGGGUCGUAAACCCCUUUUCUCAGGGAAGAAUAAUGACGGUACCUGAGGAAUAAGCCCCGGCUAACUACGUGCCAGCAGCCGCGGUAAUACGUAGGGGGCGAGCGUUAUCCGGAAUUAUUGGGCGUAAAGAGGGUGUAGGCGGUCCUGCAAGUUGGAUGUGAAAUCUCCCGGCUUAACUGGGAGGGGUCAUCCAAUACUGCUAGGCUAGAGUGUAACAGAGGGAGGUGGAAUUCCCGGUGGAGUGGUGAAAUGCUUAGAUAUCGGGAGGAACACCAGUGGCGAAGGCGGCCUCCUGGGUUAUUACUGACGCUGAGACCCAAAAGCGUGGGGAGCAAACAGGAUUAGAUACCCUGGUAGUCCACGCCGUAAACGAUGGACACUAAGUAUGGAAAGUAUCGACCCUUUCCGUGCUGCAGCUAACGCCUUAAGUGUCCCGCCUGGGGAGUACGGCCGCAAGGCUAAAACUCAAAGGAAUUGACGGGGGCCCGCACAAGCAGCGGAGCGUGUGGUUUAAUUCGAUCAACGCGAAGAACCUUACCAAGGCUUGACAUGUUGGAAGUAGGAACCCGAAAGGGGGACGACCUGUUAAAUCAGGAGCCAUCACAGGUGCUGCAUGGCUGUCGUCAGCUCGUGCCGUGAGGUGUUGGGUUAAGUCCCACAACGAGCGCAACCCUUAUUGUCAGUUGAUUUCUCUGGCGAGACUGCCCCCAGAAAGGGGAGGAAGGUGGGGAUGACGUCAAGUCAGCAUGGCCCUUAUGCCUUGGGUUACACACACGCUACAAUGGGUGGUAUAGUAGGUAGCAAUAGAGCAAUCUGGAGCCAAUCCUAAAAACCAUCCUCAGUUCGGAUUGUUGGCUGAAACUCGCCAGCAUGAAGCCGGAGUUGCUAGUAACCGCGUAUCAGAAUGGCGCGGUGAAUACGUUCUCGGGCCUUGUACACACCGCCCGUCACGUCAUGAAAGUUGGCAACACCUGAAGUCGAUGGGCUAACCCCAGUUUACUGGGGAGGCAGUCGCCGAAGGUGGGGCUGAUGAUUGGGACGAAGUCGUAACAAGGUA
rnacentral:rRNA from 1 species